rnacentral:rRNA from 1 species
AGAGUUUUGGAUCAGGCUCAGAUUGAACGCUGGCGGCAUGCCUUACACAUGCAAGUCGAACGGCAGCACGGGUGCUUGCACCUGGUGGCGAGUGGCGAACGGGUGAGUAAUACAUCGGAACAUGUCCUGUAGUGGGGGAUAGCCCGGCGAAAGCCGGAUUAAUACCGCAUACGAUCCACGGAUGAAAGCGGGGGACCUUCGGGCCUCGCGCUAUAGGGUUGGCCGAUGGCUGAUUAGCUAGUUGGUGGGGUAAAGGCCUACCAAGGCGACGAUCAGUAGCUGGUCUGAGAGGACGACCAGCCACACUGGGACUGAGACACGGCCCAGACUCCUACGGGAGGCAGCAGUGGGGAAUUUUGGACAAUGGGCGAAAGCCUGAUCCAGCAAUGCCGCGUGUGUGAAGAAGGCCUUCGGGUUGUAAAGCACUUUUGUCCGGAAAGAAAUCCCUGGCUCUAAUACAGUCGGGGGAUGACGGUACCGGAAGAAUAAGCACCGGCUAACUACGUGCCAGCAGCCGCGGUAAUACGUAGGGUGCGAGCGUUAAUCGGAAUUACUGGGCGUAAAGCGUGCGCAGGCGGUCUGUUAAGUACAGAUGUGAAAUCCCCGGAGCCUCAACCUGGGAACUGCAUUUGUAGACGUGGCAGGCUAGAGUAUGGCAGAAGGGGGGUAGAAUUCCACGUGUAGCAGUGAAAUGCGUAGAGAUGUGGAGGAAUACCGAUGGCGAAGGCAGCCCCCUGGGCCAAUACUGACGCUCAUGCACGAAAGAACGUGGGGAGCAAACAGGAUUAGAUACCCUGGUAGUCCACGCCCUAAACGAUGUCAACUAGUUGUUGGGGAUUCAUUUCCUUAGUAACGUAGCUAACGCGUGAAGUUGACCGCCUGGGGAGUACGGUCGCAAGAUUAAAACUCAAAGGAAUUGACGGGGACCCGCACAAGCGGUGGAUGAUGUGGAUUAAUUCGAUGCAACGCGAAAAACCUUACCUACCCUUGACAUGGUCGGAAUCCUGAAGAGAUUCGGGAGUGCUCGAAAGAGAACCGGCGCACAGGUGCUGCAUGGCUGUCGUCAGCUCGUGUCGUGAGAUGUUGGGUUAAGUCCCGCAACGAGCGCAACCCUUGUCCUUAGUUGCUACGCAAGAGCACUCUAAGGAGACUGCCGGUGACAAACCGGAGGAAGGUGGGGAUGACGUCAAGUCCUCAUGGCCCUUAUGGGUAGGGCUUCACACGUCAUACAAUGGUCGGAACAGGAGGGUUGCCAACCCGCGAGGGGGAGCUAAUCCCAGAAAACCGAUCGUAGUCCCGGAUUGCACUCUGCAACUCGGAGUGCAUGAAGCUGGAAUCGCUAGUAAUCGCGGAUCAGCAUGCCGCGGGUGGAAUACGUUCCCCGGGUCUUGUACACACCGCCCCGUCACACCAUGGGGAGUGGGUUUUACCAGAAGUGGCUAGUCUAACCGCAAGGAGGACGGUCACCACGGUAGGAUUCAUGACUGGGGUGAAGUCGUA